rnacentral:lncRNA from 1 species
UUUUGAGUGUAAGACAGUAGGAUAAAAUCCUAUUGCAUGUAUAUAUCAGGCCAAGAGUUACACAUGUACAGGAUAGGGAGGGGGGGAAGUGGGGCAGGGUGGAGUUACAUAUUAUGUGGUGUCAGCUAGGGUGGCUACAACACUAUCUAUGUUUUGCACCUUGCUAGUAGGCACACGGUGUCUAAGAUUGGAGAAGUCUUUUACAAACCGACGCCGCCAAGCCCCAAGAGAUGGGGUUAUUUGUUCAAAGCACUUAUUAUUUCUUUCCUUCCAUAUGCUCCAGGCUGCCACCAGAAAAACCUCCAUGAACAUGUCUCUGGGGUGCGCUGCCCUCUGGUGCUGUAGCUUCUCCAGUCUAUGUUGUCGUUCUGACCAUGUGAUGUUGAGCAUAUUCCAACAGAGUUGGCUAAAGCUGCAUUCAAAGAAGAGGUGUUCCAGCGUUUCCUCCAUGCGACGAUCGCAAAGCAUGCAGUCCAGAUUAGUCCCUAUGUUGUAAUGUCGUCGUUUGAG